rnacentral:rRNA from 1 species
GGGCCCGCACAAGCGGUGGAGUAUGUGGUUUAAUUCGAUGCAACGCGAAGAACCUUACCAGGGUUUGACAUCCUGCGAAUCUCUUGGAAACAGGAGAGUGCCUUCGGGAGCGCAGUGACAGGUGGUGCAUGGCUGUCGUCAGCUCGUGUCGUGAGAUGUUGGGUUAAGUCCCGCAACGAGCGCAACCCACGUCUUUAGUUGCCAGCAUUUAGUUGGGCACUCUAGAGAGACUGCCCGUGAUAAGCGGGAGGAAGGUGUGGAUGACGUCAAGUCCUCAUGGCCCUUACGGGUUGGGCUACACACGUGCUACAAUGGCAGUGACAAUGGGUUAAUCCCAAAAAACUGUCUCAGUUCGGAUUGGGUCUGCAACUCGACCCCAUGAAGUCGGAAUCGCUAGUAAUCG